rnacentral:rRNA from 1 species
CCGUAGGUGAACCUGCGGAGGGAUCAUUAUCGAGUUUAUCCAACUCCCAACCCUAUGUGAACCUACCUUUAUGUUGCUUCGGCGGUCUCGCGCCGGGCUGCUCCCCUGGGGAGCUCCCGGGACCACGCGUCCGCCGGAGACCACAAACUCUUGAUUUUGCGAAAGCAGUAUUAUUCUGAGUGGCCGAAAGGCAAAAAACAAAUGAAUCAAAACUUUCAACAACGGAUCUCUUGGUUCUGGCAUCGAUGAAGAACGCAGCGAAAUGCGAUAAGUAAUGUGAAUUGCAGAAUUCAGUGGAUCAUCGAAUCUUUGAACGCACAUUGCGCCCGCCAGCAUUCUGGCGGGCAUGCCUGUUCGAGCGUCAUUUCAACCCUCGAGCUCGUCUUCAUUGACGAGACCGGUGUUGGGACCCGGCGAGAAGGGACUCACGUCCACUGCCGGUCCUGAAAUUCAGUGGCGGCCCGUUGCGGCGACCUCUGCGUAGUAACUUAAACCUCGCACUGGGACAGCAGCGCGGCCACGCCGUAAAACCCCCGACUUUUUUAAGGUUGACCUCGAAUCAGGUAGGACUACCCGCUGAACUUAAGCAUAUCAAUAAGCGGAGGA